AUGUGCCAGAUUGCCUGUGGGGCGACAUGUCAGCCACCCACGUCAGGGAAGCAAUAUUGCAGAGAAGCCUCGUCCGCGGUGAAGGGAGGAGGAGGGGCAUUACGGGUUGGGUUGUUCACGCAAUCGAAGAAAGACAUGACUAGUGGGUCUCACAUGUAUGUGAGGGAAACAAAGAAAGAGGAUGAUGGGCUAGAUGUUUUGGGGGCAAAAGGAUCACCAGUGGGUCUCACACGUGAAAGUCCUUUCACAUGUCAUUUAACACUAUUAUGCGGAUUUUUUUUGAUGGAAGCGUUAGAUUUGUAA
rnacentral:rRNA from 1 species